AUUAGUGUUAGGGUCAGGGUUAGAGUUAGGUUUAGAGCUAGCAUGAGGGCUAGGGUUAGGACUAGUAAUAGAGAUAGGGUUUGAGGUAGUCUAAAGAUUAUGGUUAGGACCAGGGUAGCAUUAGGGUGAGGGUUUGGCUUACUGUAAGGGGGAUAGAGUUAGAGGUAGAGUUAGGGUUAGGGUUACGGUUAAGUUUAGGAUUAAAUUUAGGUUUAGGGCUCGAAAUAGGGAUAGGAUUUGUGUUAGCAUUGGGGCUACAGCUAAUGAAAGUACUAGGAUUUAGAUUAGGGCUAGUUCUAGGGUCAGUGUUAGGUCAAUGUUUAGAACUAGGGUUACUGUUAGGGUCCAAGUAAGGGUCAGGGUUACUUCUAGGGUUAGAGUUAGGAUUCAAAUUAGGACUACGUUUAGGGCUAGGUAUAGGGUUAGGGUUUGGUUUAGGUUAAGGGUUAAGGCUAGGGUUAUGGCUCAAUUUUGUUUUAGGGCUAGGGUAGUGUUAGGGCUAGUUUUCUAAUUAGCAUUUGGGUUAGGGCUAGUGUUAGAGUAAGCAUUAGGCUAAAGGUUAGGGUUAGAUCGAGGUUUAGGGCUCGGGUGAAG
rnacentral:lncRNA from 1 species